UACGAAGGGGGCUAGCGUUGUUCGGAUUUACUGGGCGUAAAGCGUGCGUAGACGGUCAUGUAAGUCGGGUGUGAAAGCCCCGGGCUCAACCUGGGAAUUGCAUUCGAGACUGCAUGGCUAGGAUGCGGAAGAGGGAAGCGGAAUUUCCGGUGUAGCGGUGAAAUGCGUAGAUAUCGGAAGGAACACCAGUGGCGAAAGCGGCUUCCUGGUCCAGCAUCGACGUUCAGGCACGAAAGCGUGGGGAGCAAACAGG
rnacentral:rRNA from 1 species